UACAUGUGGGGCAAGCGUUGUUCGGAAUUACUGGGCAUAAAGGGUGCGUAGGCGGGUCUUUAAGUCAGGGGUGAAAUCCUGGAGCUCAACUCCAGAACUGCCUUUGAUACUGAGGAUCUUGAGUUCGGGAGAGGUGAGUGGAACUGCGAGUGUAGAGGUGAAAUGCGUAGAGAUCGGGAGGAACACCAGUGGCGAAGGCGGCCGGCUGGGGGUGACCUGACGCUGAGGCGCGAAAGCGUGGGGAGCGAACCGG
rnacentral:rRNA from 1 species